GUGCCAGCCGCCGCGGUAAUACGGAGGGUGCAAGCGUUGUCCGGAAUCACUGGGCGUAAAGGGUGCGCAGGCGGGGCAGCAAGUCGGAGGUGAAAGCCCGUGGCUCAACCACGGAAGUGCCUUCGAAACUGUUGCUCUUGAGUCCCGGAGAGGUUGCCGGACUUCGUGGUGUAGCGGUGAAAUGCGUAGAUAUCACGAGGAACACCAGAGGCGAAAGCGCCUCGGGAGGACGGACCCGACGGUGAGGGACGAAAGCCAGGGUCUCGAACCGGAUUAGAUACCCGAGUAGUCC
rnacentral:rRNA from 1 species